rnacentral:rRNA from 1 species
AUUGAACGCUGGCGGCAUGCUUUACACAUGCAAGUCGAACGGCAGCGGGGAGGAGCUUGCUUCUCUGCCGGCGAGUGGCGAACGGGUGAGUAAUACAUCGGAACGUGUCGAGAAGAGGGGGAUAACCACCCGAAAGGGUGGCUAAUACCGCAUAAAUUCUGAGGAAGAAAGCUGGGGACCUAGGAAUAGGCCUAGCGCUUUUUGAGCGGCCGAUGUCGGAUUAGCUAGUUGGUGAGGUAAAGGCUCACCAAGGCGAAGAUCUGUAGCGGGUCUGAGAGGAUGAUCCGCCACACUGGGACUGAGACACGGCCCAGACUCCUACGGGAGGCAGCAGUGGGGAAUUUUGGACAAUGGGGGCAACCCUGAUCCAGCCAUGCCGCGUGUAUGAAGAAGGCCUUAGGGUUUUAAAGUACUUUUGUUAGGGAAGAAAAGUCAGCUGUGAAUAAUGGCUGAUACUGACGGUACCUAAAGAAUAAGCACCGGCUAACUACGUG